AGAGUUUGAUCAUGGCUCAGGAUGAACGCUAGCUACAGGCUUAACACAUGCAAGUCGAGGGGAAACGACAUCGAAAGCUUGCUUUUGAUGGGCGUCGACCGGCGCACGGGUGAGUAACGCGUAUCCAACCUGCCCAUCACUUGGGGAUAACCUUGCGAAAGUAAGACUAAUACCCAAUGACGUCUCUAGAAGACAUCUGAAAGAGAUUAAAGAUUUAUCGGUGAUGGAUGGGGAUGCGUCUGAUUAGCUUGUUGGCGGGGUAGCGGCCCACAAGGCGACGAUCGAGUAGGGUUCUGAGAGGACGGUCCCCANAUUGGACUGAGACACGGUCCAAACGUCCUACGGGAGGCA
rnacentral:rRNA from 1 species